GUGAAUCCGCAGCCCGACUUGAACGGAAAUCCUUUUUUGAUUGUACUCAAGUUCUAUUUAGACUGAAAUGGUCGACAAAAAAGAUUGGGAGUGGAAGGCGGAAAAGCUG
rnacentral:sRNA from 1 species